rfam:Rachicladosporium antarcticum strain CCFEE 5527 scaffold_8, whole genome shotgun sequence.
GGGCUUAUGGUCUAGGGGUAUGAUAUUCGCUUCGCAUUCUCUUCCUGUCGGAAAUUGCAUGUGAAUGGUCCGGGGUUCAAAUCCCCGUGAGUCCA